rnacentral:rRNA from 1 species
GCCCAGAGAAAUUUGGAUUAAUACCCCAUAGUAUUAUUAAAUGGCAUCAUUUAAUUAUUAAAGUUCCAACGGUACAAGAUGAGCAUGCGUCCCAUUAGCUAGUUGGUGUGGUAACGGCACACCAAGGCAACGAUGGGUAGGGGUCCUGAGAGGGAGAUCCCCCACACUGGUACUGAGACACGGACCAGACUCCUACGGGAGGCAGCAGUGAGGAAUAUUGGUCAAUGGACGCAAGUCUGAACCAGCCAUGCCGCGUGCAGGAUGACGGUCCUAUGGAUUGUAAACUGCUUUUGUACAGGAAGAAACACUCCCUUGCGAGGGAACUUGACGGUACUGUAAGAAUAAGGAUCGGCUAACUCCGUGCCAGCAGCCGCGGUAAUACGGAGGAUCCAAGCGUUAUCCGGAAUCAUUGGGUUUAAAGGGUCCGUAGGCGGUUUUAUAAGUCAGUGGUGAAAUCUGGUCGCUCAACGAUCAAACGGCCAUUGAUACUGUAAGACUUGAAUUACUUGGAAGUAACUAGAAUAUGUAGUGGAGCGGUGAAAUGCUUAGAGAUUACAUGGAAUACCAAUUGCGAAGGCAGGUUACUACGAGUACAUUGACGCUGAUGGACGAAAGCGUGGGGAGCGAACAGGAUUAGAUACCCUGGUAGUCCACGCCGUAAACGAUGGAUACUAGCUGUUUGGAGCAAUCUGAGUGGCUAAGCGAAAGUGAUAAGUAUCCCACCUGGGGAGUACGCUCGCAAGAGUGAAACUCAAAGGAAUUGACGGGGGCCCGCACAAGCGGAGGAGCAUGUGGUUUAAUUCGAUGAUACGCGAGGAACCUUACCAAGGCUUAAAUGGGAAACGACAGAUUUGGAAACAGAUCUUUCUUCGGACGUUUUUCAAGGUGCUGCAUGGUUGUCGUCAGCUCGUGCCGUGAGGUGUCAGGUUAAGUCCUAUAACGAGCGCAACCCCUGUUGCUAGUUGCCAGCGAGUCAAGUCGGGAACUCUAGCAAGACUGCCGGUGCAAACCGUGAGGAAGGUGGGGAUGACGUCAAAUCAUCACGGCCCUUACGCCUUGGGCUACACACGUGCUACAAUGGACGGUACAGAGAGCAGCCACUACGCAAGUAGGCGCGAAUCUACAAAACCGUUCUCAGUUCGGAUCGGAGUCUGCAACUCGACUCCGUGAAGCUGGAUUCGCUAGUAAUCGCA